AUUGAACGCUGGCGGCAGGCCUAACACAUGCAAGUCGAGCGCGAAAGUUCUUCGGAAUGAGUAAAGCGGCGGAUGGGUGAGUAAUACAUGGGAAUCUGCCUGGUAGUGGGGGACAACGUUUCGAAAGGAACGCUAAUACCGCAUACGCCCUACGGGGGAAAGGGGGGGAGUCGCAAGACCUCUCGCUAUCAGAUGAGCCC
rnacentral:rRNA from 1 species